CUACGGGGCGCAGCAGCCGAGAAUCUUCCGCAAUGGGCGAAAGCCUGACGGAGCGACGUCGCGUGACUGAUGAAGCACUUCGGUGUGUAAAGGUCUUUUAUGAAGGAGAAAGUCUCGCUUUUAGCGGGAUUGAUGUUACUUCACGAAUAAGGGGUUGCUAAACUCGUGCCAGCAGCAGCGGUAAUACGAGUGCCCCGAGCGUUGUCCGGAAUCACUGGGCGUAAAGGGUGUGUAGGUGGUUUUGUUAGUCUUUUGUUAAAGCUCCGCGCUUAACGCGGGAAAUGCAAAAGAAACAGCAAGACUAGAGGGCGCGAGAGGUCUACGGAACCCAUGGUGUAGGGGUGAAAUCCGUUGAUAUCUUGGGGAACACCAAAAGCGAAGGCAGUAGACUGGUGCGUUCCUGACACUGAGACACGAAAGCGUGGGUAGCGAACGGGAUUAGAUACCCCGGUAGUC
rnacentral:rRNA from 1 species